ensembl:lncRNA
CCCCCAAACCAUUCCUGUAUGGACUUCGCUUUGUGCACGGGGGCGUUGUCAUGCUGGAACAGGACAGGUUCCUCCCCCCAAACCAUUCCUGUAUGGACUUCGCUUUGUGUACGGGGGCGUUGUCAUGCUGGAACAGGACAGGUCCUCCCCCCAAACCUUUGUCACUGCUGGAACUCACUAGUGAGUGUUGCGACUGAGGACAGACAGAUUUUAAUGCGCUACCCGCUUCAGCACUCAGCCGUUCUGUGAGCCUGUGUGGCCUACCACUUCUCGACUGAGCCGUUGUUGCUCCGAGAUGUUUCCACUUCACGAUAACGGCACUUACGGUUGACUAGUGCAGCUCUAGCAGGGCAGAAAUUUGACAAACUGACUUGUUGGAAGGGUGGCAUCCUAUGAUGGUGCCACGCUGAAAGUCACUGAGCUCUUCAGUAAGGCCAUUGUACUGCCACUAUUUGUCUAUGGAGAUUGCAUGGCUGUGUGCUCGAUUUUAUACACCUGUCAGCAACAGAUGUGGCUGAAAUAGCCGAAUCAACUAAUUUGAAAGGUUGUUCAUAUAGUUUUGUAUAUACUAUAUAGUGUAUGACCCCGCGACUCUCACCAGACAUUCUACCUGUGUGUGUGUGUGUGUGUGUGUGUGUGUGUGUGUGUGUGGCUGGCAAUCAUUGCCCAUAAAAGGUAGUGAAUCCAAUUGGUAACGCCAUUCCUGUUUCUCUCUGACACACACACACAUUGGUUUUGUGUGUUAUUUUUUUUUACCACAUCACUGUCCACAAAGCUGACCUUUUAGCAGGGACAUCAACUUUUCAGCAAGAAAGUCAUGUUGAAAAGCAUGUGAAAAAUGUUAAUAGCGCAUAUCAAAAUUGAGUCCGACUAUCUAUGGAGCUGAGCUGCAUUUAUGUCAGUUAAGCGUUGCUCUACGG